rnacentral:rRNA from 1 species
ACGGAGGGUGCAAGCGUUGUUCGGAUUGACUGGGCGUAAAGGGCGUGUAGGCGGUCGGCCAAGUCUGAUGUGAAAGCCCGAGGCUCAGCCUCGGAAGUGCGUCGGAAACUAGUCGGCUGGAGCGCGAUAGAGGAGGGUGGAAUUCCUGGUGUAGCGGUGAAAUGCGUAGAUAUCAGGAGGAACACCGGCGGCGAAGGCGGCCCUCUGGAUCGUUGCUGACGCUGAGACGCGAAAGCGUGGGGAGCAAACAGGAUUAGAUACCCUGGUAGUCCACGCUGUAAACGAUGGGUACUAGGUGUUCGGGGUAUUGACCCCCUGAGUGCCGCAGCUAACGCAUUAAGUACCCCGCCUGGGGACUACGGCCGCAAGGUUA